GUGCUCACUUCUACAGCACAUAACUAAAAUUGAAAUGAUUCAGAGAAGAUUAGCAUGGCCCCUGUGCAAGGAUGACAUGCAAAUUCAUGAAGGUCUACAUAUUUUU